rnacentral:rRNA from 1 species
GAUGAACGCUGGCGGCGUGCCUAAUACAUGCAAGUCGAGCGAACGGACGAGAAGCUUGCUUCUCUGAUGUUAGCGGCGGACGGGUGAGUAACACGUGGAUAACCUACCUAUAAGACUGGGAUAACUUCGGGAAACCGGAGCUAAUACCGGAUGAUAUUUUGAACCGCAUGGUUCAAAAGUGAAAGACGGUCUUGCUGUCACUUAUAGAUGGAUCCGCGCUGCAUUAGCUAGUUGGUAAGGUAACGGCUUACCAAGGCAACGAUGCAUAGCCGACCUGAGAGGGUGAUCGGCCACACUGGAACUGAGACACGGUCCAGACUCCUACGGGAGGCAGCAGUAGGGAAUCUUCCGCAAUGGGCGAAAGCCUGACGGAGCAACGCCGCGUGAGUGAUGAAGGUCUUCGGAUCGUAAACCUCUGUUAUUAGGGAAGAACAUAUGUGUAAGUAACUGUGCACAUCUUGACGGUACCUAAUCAGAAAGCCACGGAUAACUACGUG